UUGAUUUCCGCCGCCCGCCGAAGCCGCCUCGGGCAAGGACCCGGCCGGCGACAAGGCCUCUUCCCCGGCGGCCUGCCCGCGGCCAGGCGGGCCCUUUCCUCCCUCCCCACCGCCCUGGCCGUGGCCAGUCUGCUCCUCCUCUCUUCGUCCGGGGCCCCGGGUCGUGGAAGCCUCUCGCCUCGCCUCCUCGCGUCUGGUUUGGAUUCACUCCUCCUCGAUUCGUCGCUCGUUUAGGCUCGUGAUUUGGUUUCUGCUCGUGCUCGAUUCGUCCGUUUGGAAUUGCGCCCGGUUUGAUUUUGCUCGUCCUCGCCGUCGUCCGUUUGGGGUCGCGUCCGGUUCGAUUUUGCUCCUCCUCGCCACCGUCGUCCGUGUAGGGUCGCGUCCGGUUCGAUUCUGCUCGUCCUCACCGUCGUCCGUUUAGAGUCGUGUCUGGUUCGAUUUUGUUCGUCCUCGCUGUCGUCCGUUUGGGGUCGCGUCCGGUUCGAUUUUGCUCGUCCUCACCGCCGUCGUCCGUGUAGGGUCGCGUCCGAUUCGAUUUCGCUCGUCCUCGCCGUCGUCCGUGUAGAGUCGCGACUGAUUCGAUUUCGCUCAUCCUCGCCGUUGUCCCGACGCGCCCGCGUGUUCUUGGUCCGGUCUCGCCUCGUCGGCGGUCUCCUCCGUCUCGUUUGCGUAGUAGCAAUUCUGUCCGCGCGUGCUUCUGUUAUCCGAACUAGCAGUCCUGGGUUUCGUGUUCACGUCGGUUACAGGAAUGAACAGGUCUGGUUUCGAAAUUGGAUUACGGCCGGACACGGGGAGCAGUGUUUGUUUAUCGUGCUAGUUCAGACUGGUUCGUCCGUUCCGUCACCUACGUUGCUCUUGGUGAUUUUCAGAACUCAAAAUGUGUGCUCUCCUGUGAUACUCUGUCAAUUCUUGGCCCUCUGUCAGUUCUUGUUGGCCCUCUGUCAGUUGUUGAGUUCCAGGGUCUGUUAAUUCUUGAGUUCUCAUUGUACUGGCUAGGCGUGUGCGCUCUCAUCCUAGAUUCAGAGAUGGGGUGAUUCCUUUACGCUUGAUCUGAUGGUGUAUACUGUUUAUGUUCUUUCCAAUUUGUUUCUUUUUAUCAUGCUUAGCUAGUGUGUUCCGAGCAGAAAAGUUUUACAAGAGUGCAAACCAUGUGGCCUGCUGCUGCUACUGUUGGACAAGGUUCCUUCUUUUCUUCCCGAUGUUACUAUUUCCAUUGAAGUACUCAUACGAGUUCUAGGUGAGCUGCUGCUAAUUAGUUCCCCUUAGACUACAUUCUAGAUUGCAUGGCAUAACUCCAAUAUUUUGUCAUUGCACACUUGGGCAUAUAAUUCUGCUGUGAGCAUAACUCUAGAAUUUAUUUAUCUGUGAAAGCAUGUUCAUCACAUGUUUUUUAUCAAUGCUGGUAACUUGUGUCAUGCCCCUUUCCUUUUGGACAACAAUUUCAACGAACCUAUAACGUGGACAUGUGCUGCUUGUUUUCUUGUGAUGAUGGUGAUCCAAUUGAGUAGCCCAACUCUUAUGCUCUGACAUUUGUUAAUCCCCAGUUAGUGUGCAUGAAAAAUUAUUGUUUGUCAUGUUAAAUUCUAUGGCAUCAACUCGGUAUUGUGAUUAAUGACUUAGUAUUUGUUUAGAGUAGAUACUUGACUUCUUUUUCUUAAAUUUUUAGUGAUAUGUGUGUUUUGUUAUGUCUUAUGUGGAUAUCAUAUUCUUUCUUUGUAUUACUAUAGCCAGUCAAUGGAAAUGCUUUUCUUGCUUUGCCUAGACUUUGUGACAAUUAACUUAUAGUGCGAUCAUUGAUCAUUGAGCUUCUGACACCCUAUUCCGUAAAAUUCCGUUGUAAUGUUUGCUGGAUCAUCGAGUAGUUAAUAUUGAUUCUGAGUUUGUUGGAUCAUUAACUUCUAUGUGUGCUUUGGUUAUCUGAGAGACACUCACUAUCCUGUGUUUCAUAUUCGUGGCGGAGCGAUGAACGAUUAUGUUUCGUGUUUGCCGGUCUGGUUUUGGAUUUGGAUUACGGAGACGGGGAGAGGUCAAAACAAGGUCAGUUUAUCGUGUUCGCUCAGAUCGGUUCCUCGGUUCUGUCGCUGCGUUGUUCGUCGGCGAUUUCCAGACCUCAAACGCAUGCGCCCUUGUGAUACUCUGGUUUGGCUCGCUGGUCGUUAUGGCUGUUCGUUACGGUUGUUCUUAUGUUCUUGAAUCACCCAUCUUAUAAGCAGAGAUGGGGUGACACAUAAUGGUUGUUUUGAUGGUUGCUUAUUUAGUGCUCUUUCCAAUUGGGUUCUUCUUGUCAUGCUUUGCUUAUGUUCCCAAUGUCUGUCUUUCCAUAUAUGGGGAUGCGUUAGGGUGCAAACCGUGUAGGCCAUGGUGUGUUUUUAACUAGCUAUGGUGUGUUCUAUACUAUCUGAUGUGGAAGGUGGAAAUAUUGAUAUCACUUCUGUGUUAGUAUACUUGAUAUGGUGUGUUUUAUUCAAGUAAUUAACCACAUCUCUUACAAAUUUUCCUUGAGAUACAUGUUUAUAUGGCAGGAGUGAUUGUCUUGACGAAUAAUCAUUUAUGCUAACAGAUCAGUACUUGAUCAUAGGUACAGACAUGUGGAUCUGGACAUUUCACAUUUGCUCUUUAUUGUGUUGCUAAGGACACCGAACGGUUUGUCUAGGCCACCGCAUAGCCUGGCUAAUCAGGUUGUAGUGAUUAGGGAGAAGCUUGCAGAACCGUAUGAAUUUGAACAACAAUGGUCGAGAGCAGUACAAAUGCUUAGUGGCAUUGACUUGGACUCAGGAAUAAGGAUGCUUGAUGACAAACAAAUUAUCCAAGUGCGUCCAGAUUGCAUGACUAUUUGGAGGAUGAUGAUGCAGUGAAUGUUGAAGCUUUUAUCAACAAAGCCUCAUUUUUUGUCACAAACAGCAACCAGGAAGUUCUGAACUUGUAAUACAAGGUAUGCUAUGCGAGAAUUUUAGAUCUAAAGAAUAAAUUCUUGGAAGCUGCACUUCGAUACUAUGGUAUCUCUCAAAUUGAGCAACGCCAAAUUGGGGAUGAGUAAGGCUUACUCUAUUCAGUUGUAGAUUUGUUUCUCUCUUCUGCAAUUUACUCAUUUUUAAUGUUCUGUCUUGUAUGGUUCUUUGUUGCCUUGCCGGUCUAGUGAUGCCUAAUUUCUAUUUUACACCCUUCAAAUUACCCUACUUGAUACUCAUGUUUAAGUAUUGCAGUGGUUAUUAGCAAGUUGUGUUUGGAACUGAUAUGGCCUCCAUAUUUUAUUCUCAAAGAUCUUGAUGGAACAUAGUUUCUGUAUUUUCUCUGAUAGAUUGACGAAAAUGCUCUUUAACAAGCUCUUAGUGCUGCUGUAACAUGCACAAUAUUGUAACUGAUGAGAGGCAACCACCGUUGCCAACUUGAAAUCAGUUUACUCAUUCAAGUUCUGGAAUUUCUUUAUAGAUUUCUGGGUUUACUUCGAUCUUGCAUGUAUUAGGUUUCCCUUUGUGCCCCUGUCUAUGUCGGUUUCUUGUGUGCAAGUGCUUCAUUAUGUGUGUGUGUGUGUGACUGUGUGUGACUUGUUGGUGAAUAUGUGUGUGGCUUGACUCUGUGUGUGUGGCUUGAUGGUGUGUGUGU